rnacentral:rRNA from 1 species
CAUAAUCACUUGCCUUCUAAUUAAAGGAUAGAAUGAAAGGAAAAACGAAAUUUAAACUAUAUUAUCUUUACCCCAUAAAAAUUACCCUCCAGGUGAAGACACCUGGAUUAACCUGAAAGACAAGAAGACCCUAUAGAGUUUAAGUAAUAUUAUUCCUCCUUUAUAACUAACUUUUGUUGGGGCGACAAAGGGUUUAUAAACACCCUCUCCCUCUUCGAUAAUAAUUCACCUAACUGACCCUCACUAAAAGACAAAGAAAACUAACUACCUUAGGGAUAACAGGCUAAUCUUUUUCCAGAGUCCAUAUCUAAAAAAAGUUUGGCACCUCGAUGUUGGCUUAGAGACCCCUCUUACCGCAAAAGGUAAGAAAGGAAGUUUGUUCAACUAAUAAUACUCU